rnacentral:rRNA from 1 species
GCAGGCUGCAACCCGCCCUGCAUGAAGUCGGAAUUGCUAGUAAUCGCGGAUCAGCAUGCCGCGGUGAAUACGUUCCCGGGCCUUGUACACACCGCCCGUCACACCAUGGGAGCCGGUAAUACCCGAAGUCAGUAGUCCAACCUCGUGAGGACGCUGCCGAAGGUAGGAUUGGCGACUGGGGUGAAGUCGUAACAAGGUACC